ACGAUCAUGGCAUGGAAAGUAAAAAUGACUGUAUGUGUCAGUGUCAGAGAGGCCUAAGGAACUUUCACCAAGUCUCCUACAGAACAGAGAAGAGAGGCUAUGAUUUCCUUAUGUUCCUGAGAAAGGCAAAGCAUUUGUCUGAAAGCGAAAGCCAGGAGAUCAAAGUAACUUCCCUGUCACAAGAGGAAACAUGAGAGCAGAAUUCAGCAUGAGUUUUGUAUAUGGCAAUCAAGUAUAUUCAUGGCUAUCUAAAUGAAUGUCCACGUAGAAGUCAGGCAGCACAAAGAACAAGAUAUAACAGCUGAACGUCCCACUGAAAACCAGCUAAGUGUUGAUCACAACCAUCAAAAAAAUUCUUGUCUUUACUUACAGUGUGACUGUAACUUUCAGAAAGUAACACAUCAGUAAAAUGCAGGUACUUUGACUCGAAGAUAACAGCCAUACUGUUCACAGUGAGGUCCACAGACCAGCAGCUUCAUCAUUGUCAUGUGAGGAUGUGUCAGAAAUGCAGAACCUCAGGCUCCACCUCAGACCUACUAUGGAAUCAGAAUCUUCGCCUUAUUAAGAUCCCCAGGGGACUGGGUGCAGUGGCUCAUACCUGUAAUCCCAGCACUUUGGGAAGCCAAGGCAAGUGGAUCACUUCAGGUCAGGAGUUCGAGAUGAGCCUGGCCAACAUGGUGAAACCCCAUCUCUACUAAAAAUACAAAAAUUACCUGGGCGUGGUGGUGCACACCUGUAAUCUCAGGUACUCAGGAGGCUGAGGCAGGAGAAUUGCUUGAAUCUAAGAAGCAGAGGUUGCAGUGAGCUGAGAUCAUGCCAUCGCACUCCAGACUACAGCCUGGGUGACAGAGUGAGAUCUUGUCUCAAAACAACAGCAACAACAAAAAGAUGACCCCCAGGCAAUUCGGCAAUUCAUAUGCACAUGCAAGUUUGAGAACAACGGGAAAUGACGAGAAAAUAAAGAACUGAGAACAAUCUCUUAUACCACCCCACAAAGAUUGUUUCUAUUUUUCUAACCUUGAUGUCUUCUGUAUUUCAGUUUGUAAGUUCCUUGAUGGCAGGAACUCGAUUCACAUCAUUCAAUGGCAUUUCCAAUACUGCGUGACAUCUAGUAAAUGAGAAAUGACUAUUUGUUGACUACAUGCUGCCCAAAUCACUAUAUCAGGUUCAGAUUUCUCUGAGCCCCAGAAUUAUUACUUUGAUUUGGGCAUUUCCUGAUUUUUUUAUAGACACCACUAAUUCAUCAUGUGCAAAUUGAUUUCUCACUUAUAUCUGCUUCAUCUCUAGUUUUCCUUCUUUGUGAGGAUGGUACCCCAUUUUCACAGUCAUGCAGUGACUACAUUCUUACAUUCCACAUACAUGCAUACAGAAUCCAUCACAUUAUUUAUACCAUCAUGGCUGCCCCCUGUAUUGUUUGAUUAUUUCUUGACUGAUUUAUCUUCAUGGUGUUCUUUCUUGCUACCUUGUCUAUUGUGUUACAUCUCAUGUAUCUAUUCUUUACACUGCCUCCAAGGUGGUUACCCCAAAUCUAAACCUGAUCAAGCCACCUUUUCUUCUCUUUUUUCUUUUUCUUUUUUUUUUUUUUUCCUAAAUAGCUUCUGGUGCCUUUCAGGAUAAAAUUUAAUCUCUGUAGAGGAUUUUCCAAGGUGCAUCAUUAUCUGCUCCUUGUCUACUUCUCUACUCUCCUAUGUUAGCUCUCUCCUGCCCAGGUGCUCUAUCACUAUAAUCCCGCCUCAUUCUAUGACUUGCUAUAAUAAGUGCAGUUUGCUGUCUCUUGCAUCCAGAACUGGCUAAUCUUUUGCAAUCCUUUCAAUACUUGCUGAACUUGAAAACCUUCACUCUCCUUUCAGGACUUGGGGCAAUGUCUUUGUUAUUAAAAAUCCUUAGAUGUUUCUGGUCUAAGGUAGGUGCCUCUUCCAUCUUUUGCCACUGAUCUUGUGUACAUCUCCUUCAUAGAACUUACCACGUUGCAUCACAACUUUGUUUACGUAUUAGAUCCAGAGACUUUAUCUUAUCUCUACAUAACAAGAGACUGGUUCUUUAGAACAAAUCCACAGACUUUUAUCUCUAUAUCUCUAUAACAUAUCUUGGUUUAGAAGUCAUUAUAGAUCUCAAUUACAAAUAUUUUGAAUUGAUGAGUGUAUAAUUUGGAGGCAGGAAUUUUCAAACAGGGGCUUAGAGGAAAGUUGAAGAUUAUAAAUACCUCUGGAGAGCAAGGAUCAUGCCUUGUUUACCAGUGAGCUCUCAGAGCUUAUCACUGUCUUUGAAAUACAAUAUGUACUCCAUAAAUAUUUGUUGAAGAAGCAAAGGGAUAGAUGGAAUAAUGGAUGAAUAGAUGUGGUCAACAAAAUAUUGCUAUAAAACUUUAUUCUCUGCUUGAUAAAGGCAUUCUCACCACCUGCUUUGUUUCUCCAGAUUUUGUCUUCUACUCCCUCCAACUGGGUCUGGUGACAGACAGACCUGUAGGCCCAGGCCUGUGCUAGUUCCGAGCUAGGUAUGACAGGGACAGGAGUUAUAUCAGCACCCUCAGUCCUAUCCUUCUGGGAUUCAGUUUUGUCGAUUACGAAGGCCUGGUGCAUCAGCAAUAAGUUCUGUGACUAUGUGUCAGCAACUUAUUAAUAACAGCCUUGGGUGAGCAAGGCACGUUUGGCAGAGUUAUUUCAUCAUCCCUCCUAUCAGUUUCAAUUUUCUCUGCUAUAUGCCAGUACUUCCCACCCAGACUUGACUUCCUCCAUAGACAGCUUGUGGGCAUCAUUUUGUGCCCCUCAAAUGUCACACUCUGCUACCUGCCCUGUUCCUGAUUAUUAGGAUUAUCAACUACACGAUAAUUUCUGAUGCUGAAUCUGUAUAUCUCUGUUUUCACCUCCCUCCAACCCUACAUUUCUUCAGGGAUGGAAAUCUAGAAUUUCUUGCAGCUUGGCAGCAUAGGAGCCAAUGGGGUAGCAAUGUGAAAGUCAAGAAGUACACCUCAUCUCCAGGACAGCAAGAGUGAUCCCUGCCUGACAAUGAUGCUGGGAGAAGAUGUGCCGGUGCUCAAGAAGGCACCGUCCCUCAUGCACAGCCACAUGCCACAGGUCACACAACAUUGGCAGGAGUCCAGACCACUUUUUGUCUAGUAGUAGCUUUACUGGGACCUACUAUAACUUGGGCAAGUUAAGUCUUCUUCCUGGAUUUUGUUUCUCUUUAAACGAGAGAAUAAGAGUAGAUGGGCUACAAAGUUCCCAAAGAACUUAGCUAAGAUUCUGGCAUAUAGUUACAGUAUGGAUUAAGUAGAAGGUGAUGAGGCAGAGAGUGAACAUGACAUUGGUGUGUGGCCAGAUUUACACUUGGACCUUCUUUAGCGGGGGCACCCGUUGAAAAUCAGCCUGCAAAUCCUCAAUAAAUCCAGCACUGCCAGUUUUUUUCAUUCUGAAACAGACUGCAUUUGGUGAGGCAGGAGGGUGAGCAUUAUAUAAAAGAGAUAUUUUGCAUUUUAGGAGCAAUGAUAUAUACAAAAUAAGUACUAUAGCAUUAAAAUACAAUCACACUCAUUGUUGAAAGAUGUUUACAUUAUGAGAAAAAAAUCCAUGCUCCUGACAUCAACUGAAGGGGCAUCUCUCACAAGACCUGGGGAGUGGAAGUAUGGAAUCUAAUGUUACUACAGCAAGUGAAUCCACCUUGCAUAGAGUGAAAUAUUUGUAAAACUCCUAAUUAGAACAGAUUUUUAAAAAAUAGUUCUUGGAAGACAGAUCUUUCAGGACUAGCUUCUAUUAAUGACAGUAUAAUUGCUGGUAUGUAGUGUCCUUUACUUUCUUGCUAUUUUUUUCUUGUAAUUUAUUUGUAAGAGGUGAUGUUUUGAUGUUUCCUGAGGGAUUGUUCCUCAUUUAUGUGUGGCUUGAUUUGUAUUGCAAAACUUAUGCUAG
rnacentral:lncRNA from 1 species